rnacentral:misc_RNA from 1 species
AAAAUACGCCCCGUUUUUACGAGAAUGGGUUCUAUUCCCAAACCGUGUUUACAUACCUUUGUUGCUUUGGCGGGCCGCCGUCUUGGCGUUGGCUUCGGCUGACUGUGCCCGCCAGAGGACCCCAACUCUUUUGUUUAAUAAUGUCUGAGUACUAUAUAAUAGUUA